UCCCAGGAGGAACUGUCGUCAGCCCUGUGG
rnacentral:piRNA from 1 species